UGAUUCCACCCCUUGGAUGUCACUGCUUGGCACAAUCCUCUUAUUGUGAAUUUCAUGUCCUCUUUCGUGGUUAGUCGAUAGAGUUGUACUACCUUUAUUCAUCCAGUGUUAUAAAUGUUUGUCCAGUGCUAGCUCUUCACUUGGGGAUUGCACAACAGGGGGUUCGUGCCAAGCUGUGUGCAACCUAAGGGUGGUUUUA
rnacentral:pre_miRNA from 1 species